GUACCCGCUGAACUUAAGCGGAGGAAAAGAAACCAACAGGGAUUGCCCUAGUAACGGCGAGUGAAGCGGCAACAGCUCAAAUUUGAAAUCUGGUUCCUUCCGGGGCCCGAGUUGUAAUUUGUAGAGGGUGCUUUGGCGUUGGCCAUGGUCUAAGUUCCUUGGAACAGGACGUCACAGAGGGUGAGAAUCCCGUACGUGGCCGUUGGCCUUCGCCAUGUAAAGCCCCUUCGACGAGUCGAGUUGUUUGGGAAUGCAGCUCUAAAUGGGAGGUAAAUUUCUUCUAAAGCUAAAUAUUGGCCAGAGACCGAUAGCGCACAAGUAGAGUGAUCGAAAGAUGAAAAGCACUUUGGAAAGAGAGUCAAAAAGCACGUGAAAUUGUUGAAAGGGAAGCGCUUGCAGCCAGACUUGCCCGUAGUCGCUCAUCUAGGCUUCUGCCUGGUGCACUCUUCUGCGGGCAGGCCAGCAUCAGUUCAGGCGGUCGGAUAAAGGUCUUGGGAAUGUGGCUCUCUUCGGGGAGUGUUAUAGCCCAGGGCGCAAUGCGACCAGCCUGGACUGAGGUCCGCGCAUCUGCUAGGAUGCUGGCGUAAUGGCUGUAAGCGGCCCGUCUUGAAACACGGACCAAGGAGUCUAACAUCUAUGCGAGUGUUUGGGUGUCAAGCCCGAGCGCGCAAUGAAAGUAAACGGAGGUGGGAACCCGCAAGGGCGCACCAUCGACCGAUCCUGAUGUCUUCGGAUGGAUUUGAGUAAGAGCAUAGCUGUUGGGACCCGAAAGAUGGUGAACUAUGCCUGAAUAGGGUGAAGCCAGAGGAAACUCUGGUGGAGGCUCGCAGCGGUUCUGACGUGCAAAUCGAUCGUCAAAUUUGGGCAUAGGGGCGAAAGACUAAUCGAACUAUCUAGUAGCUGGUUCCUGCCGAAGUUUCCCUCAGGAUAGCAGUAACGUUUUCAGUUUUAUGAGGUAAAGCGAAUGAUUAGAGGCCUGGGGGUUGAAACAACCUUCACCUAUUCUCAAACUUUAAAUAUGUAAGAAGUCCUUGUUACUUAAUUGAACGUGGACAUUUGAAUGUACCGUUACUAGUGGGCCAUUUUUGGUA
rnacentral:rRNA from 1 species